rnacentral:lncRNA from 1 species
AAUGCUCUGAGGGUAAUAAAGAAUUACAUCUACCUACCUCAGGAGAGAAGAUCGAAACUAAGAGAUGAUGCCUUGAUGACUGAGAAUUCAUGGAAAGGUGGCAUUUAUCUUGUGGGUCAUGGACACUAAAGUAAAAGUCAAGGCUCUCCCAGUGACUAAAAGGCACCUUAGGAACACAUAGGGAUGCAUCUUUCAGGGACAACAGCUUCCAUCUUGUUCGAUUAAUACCUGGAAGAUUCUCAAAAUAGUUGAAAAAUCUGCAAAUGGCUUUAUUGUCUCCUGUCUCCAAACCAUCUCCUCUUCACUUUUUAGCUAAUUGUAC